rnacentral:pre_miRNA from 1 species
GAGAAAAAUGUGAAGGUAUGCUCCUUUACUAAAGAUUAAAGAGCUUUAACCUUUAGUAAAGGAGCAUAUUUUCAUAUUUUUCUG